ACUCCUACGGGAGGCAGCAGUAGGGAAUCUUCCACAAUGGGCGCAAGCCUGAUGGAGCAACACCGCGUGAGUGAAGAAGGGUUUCGGCUCGUAAAGCUCUGUUGUUAAAGAAGAACACGUAUGAGAGUAACUGUUCAUACGUUGACGGUAUUUAACCAGAAAGUCACGGCUAACUACGUGCCAGCAGCCGCGGUAAUACGUAGGUGGCAAGCGUUAUCCGGAUUUAUUGGGGCGUAAAGAGAGUGCAGGCGGUUUUCUAAGUCUGAUGUGAAAGCCUUCGGCUUAACCGGAGAAGUGCAUCGGAAACUGGAUAACUUGAGUGCAGAAGAGGGUAGUGGAACUCCAUGUGUAGCGGUGGAAUGCGUAGAUAUAUGGAAGAACACCAGUGGCGAAGGCGGCUACCUGGUCUGCAACUGACGCUGAGACUCGAAAGCAUGGGUAGCGAACAGGAUUAGAUACCCUGGUAGGAUAGCC
rnacentral:rRNA from 1 species